rnacentral:rRNA from 1 species
UUUUCCCUACCGGAGGCAGCAGUGGGGAUUCCUAGGGGAGGCAGCAGUCGGAAUCUUGCACAACGGCGCAACCAUGAUCCCGCCAUGCCGCGUGAGUGAUGAAGGCCGUAGGGAGUAAACUCUUACCCGGGAAGAAAGACGGUACCGCAGAAUAGCACGCUACUUG